UACAGAGGUCUCGAGCGUUAGGCGGAAUCACUGGGCUUAAAGCGUGUGUAGGUGGAUCGUUAAGUACCUUGUGAAAUCCCACGGCUUAACCGUGGAACUGCUUGGUGUACUGGCGGUCUUGAGCCACUUAGGGGCUACCGGAACAAAUGGUGGAGCGGUGAAAUGCGUAGAGAUCGUAAGGAAGACCAGUGGCGAAGGCGGGUCUCUGGACAGUUCCUGACGCUGAGGCACGAAGGCCAGGGGAGCAAACGGG
rnacentral:rRNA from 1 species